rnacentral:tRNA from 3 species
GUCUUCGUAGCUCAGUUGGUUAGAGCGUCUGACUGUUAAUCAGGAGGUCGACAGUUCGAACCUGUCCGAGGACG